GACGAACGCUGGCGGCGUGCUUAACACAUGCAAGUCGAACGGAAAGGCCCUGCUUGCAGGGUACUCGAGUGGCGAACGGGUGAGUAACACGUGGGUGAUCUGCCCUGCACUUCGGGAUAAGCUUGGGAAACUGGGUCUAAUACCGGAUAGGAACCAUCUUUAGUGUGGUGGUUGGAAAGUUUUUUCGGUGUAGGAUGAGCUCGCGGCCUAUCAGCUUGUUGGUGGGGUAAUGGCCUACCAAGGCGGCGACGGGUAGCCGGCCUGAGAGGGUGUACGGCCACAUUGGGGCUGAGAGACGGCCCAGACUCCUACGGGAGGCAGCAGUGGGGAAUAUUGCACAAUGGGCGCAAGCCUGAUGCAGCGACGCCGCGUGGGGGAUGAAGGCCUUCGGGUUGUAAACUCCUUUCGCUAGGGACGAAGCUUUGUUGUGACGGUACCUAGAUAAGAAGCACCGGCUAACUACGUG
rnacentral:rRNA from 1 species